UACGAAGGGGGCUAGCGUUGCUCGGAAUCACUGGGCGUAAAGCGCACGUAGGCGGCUUGUUAAGUCAGGGGUGAAAUCCUGGAGCUCAACUCCAGAACUGCCUUUGAUACUGGCAAGCUUGGAGUCCGGGAGAGGUGAGUGGAACUGCGAGUGUAGAGGUGAAAUUCGUAGAUAUUCGCAAGAACACCAGUGGCGAAGGCGGCUCACUGGCCCGGCUACGUGACGCUGAGGUGCGAAAGCGUGGGGAGCAA
rnacentral:rRNA from 1 species